rnacentral:tRNA from 1 species
GUGACUGUGGUGUAGUGGCAGCACGUCAGGACGUGGCCCUGGAAGUAAGGGUUCAAUUCCCUUCAGUCACCCCA